rnacentral:rRNA from 1 species
GGGAUUGCCCUAGUAACGGCGAGUGAAGCGGCAACAGCUCAGAUUUGAAAUCUGGCCCGUCAGGGUCCGAGUUGUAAUCUGUAGAGGAUGCUUUUGGCGAGGUGCCUUCUAAGUCCCCUAGAACGGGGCGCCAUAGAGGGUGAGAGCCCCGUACAGUUGGACACCGAACCUUUGUAAAGCUCCUUCGACGAGUCGAGUAGUUUGGGAAUGCUGCUCAAAAUGGGAGGUAUAUUUCUUCUAAAGCUAAAUACCGGCCAGAGACCGAUAGCGCACAAGUAGAGUGAUCGAAAGAUGAAAAGCACUUUGAAAAGAGGGUUAAAUAGCACGUGAAAUUGUUGAAAGGGAAGCGCUUGUGACCAGACUUGCGCCCGGUGAAUCAUCCAGCGUUCUCGCUGGUGCACUUUGCCGGGCUCAGGCCAGCAUCGGUUCUCCUAGGGGGAUAAAAGUCUCGGGAACGUAGCUCUCUUCGGGGAGUGUUAUAGCCCGUGGCAUAAUACCCUUGGGGGGACCGAGGACCGCGCCCUGCAAGGAUGCUGGCGUAAUGGUCAUCAGCGACCCGUCUUGAAACACGGACCAAGGAGUCAAGCAUUAGGGCGAGUCUUUGGGUGUAAAACCCGCAGGCGCAAUGAAAGUGAACGGAGGUGAGAGCUUCGGCGCAUCAUCGACCGAUCCUGAUGUUCUCGGAUGGAUUUGAGUAAGAGCCUUACCGCUUGGACCCGAAAGAUGGUGAACUAUGCCUGAAUAGGGUGAAGCCAGAGGAAACUCUGGUGGAGGCUCGCAGCGGUUCUGACGUGCAAAUCGAUCGUCAAAUUUGGGCAUGGGGGCGAAAGACUAA